rnacentral:RNase_P_RNA from 4 species
GAAGCUGACCAGACAGUCGCCGCUUCGUCGUCGUCCUUCUCUGAAGGAGACGGGCGGAGGGGAGGAAAGUCCGGGCUCCAUAGGGCAGGGUGCCAGGUAACGCCUGGGGGGGAAACCCACGACCAGUGCAACAGAGAGCAAACCGCCGAUGGCCCAGUAAUGGGAUCAGGUAAGGGUGAAAGGGUGCGGUAAGAGCGCACCGCGCGGCUGGUAACAGUCCGUGGCACGGUAAACUCCACCCGGAGCAAGGCCAAAUAGGGGUUCACAUGGUACGGCCCGUACUGAACCCGGGUAGGCUGCUUGAGCCAGUGAGCGAUUGCUGGCCUAGAUGAAUGACUGUCCACGACAGAACCCGGCUUAUCGGUCAGUUUCGACU